rnacentral:misc_RNA from 1 species
AACGCACAUUGCGCUUUUGGGUUACUCCCAAGAGCAUGCUUAUCUGAGUGUUCCUGAACCCCACUCAGUCGGUGCUGUACUUGAAAGUGCAUGCACCCGGCUGGACUAUGACAGUGCAGGUCCAUGACCGGCUCCGUUGAAAUUUUUUGGUUUGCGUAUCCGACUGGCCUUGCCGCGAAAGGACCGACGCAUCAAAAGAUUUGGUCAAUGCACUUUUACGUGUGUUUCAUAUCUGGAGGCGUGGCGCUGACGGCCCAACCAGACAGAGGCGGGAACAAUGGCGGAUUGAGGAAACCCACUCAUGCCCAUGAUGUGAACGAUUCAUUUAUGAAUCUCAGACUAAGCAAGACCACCCGCUGAAUUUAA